rnacentral:rRNA from 1 species
GAUGAACGCUGGCGGCGUGCCUAAUACAUGCAAGUCGAGCGAACGGACGAGAAGCUUGCUUCCCUGAUGUUAGCGGCGGACGGGUGAGUAACACGUGGAUAACCUACCUAUAAGACUGGGAUAACUUCGGGAAACCGUAGCUAAUACCGGAUAAUAUUUUGAACCGCAUGGUUCAAAAGUGAAAGACGGUCUUGCUGUCACUUAGAGACGGAUCCGCGCUGCAUUAGCUAGUUGGUAAGGUAACGGCUUACCAAGGCAACGAUGCAUAGCCGACCUGAGAGGAUGAUCGGCCACACUGGAACUGAGACACGGUCCAGACUCCUACGGGAGGCAGCAGUAGGGAAUCUUCCGCAAUGGGCGAAAGCCUGACGGAGCAACACCGCGUGAGUGAUGAAGGUCUUCGGAUCGUAAAACUCUGUUAUUAGGGAAGAACAUAUGUGUAAGUAACUGUGCACAUCUUGACGGUACCUAAUCAGAAAGCCACGGCUAACUACGUG